AGAUGAGAUUUCUCGUCAUCGCUCUUAUUUUACUCAUUCAUGCAUGUGGGCCGAUUUUGGCGCAGACAAUGGCCCCAAAGCCACUUGACUCUCCAGGUAUCCUGAAAAGACUGAUGGACCGUGCUCGUGCGACUCAAGAGAAUGUCCAGAAUGUGAUGGAAUUUGUGAAAGCCAUUACAGCCGAGUACUACGAUGAACACGUCCAACCGGUGGUUGACAACUACAGUCAAUGGGCUGCUGGCGUUAGGACCUCGGCAAGGGAGAAGAUCCUCAACUACUUGCCAUUCAUUGGCUCAAAUGCGACUGAUGAUGUGGUGAAAA